UGGCCGGUGAUGGCACCCAUCCUUGCUCCCCAAGCCACCAGAGCUGUGUACAACCUCGAGGCUGCCCCCAGGCCAAGCCAGUGGGCUGUCUCAUGGGGCCUGAGGGCA